GAUGAACGCUGGCGGCGUGCCUAAUACAUGCAAGUCGAACGCUUUGUCUUUAAUUGAUAUGACGAGCUUGCUCUGAUUUGAUUUUAUCUGACAAAGAGUGGCGAACGGGUGAGUAACACGUGGGUAACCUACCUCUUAGCAGGGGAUAACAUUUGGAAACAAGUGCUAAUACCGUAUAACACUAACAACCGCAUGGUUGUUAGUUGAAAGAUGGUUCUGCUAUCACUAAGAGAUGGACCCGCGGUGCAUUAGCUAGUUGGUAAGGUAAUGGCUUACCAAGGCGAUGAUGCGUAGCCGAGUUGAGAGACUGAUCGGCCACAAUGGGACUGAGACACGGCCCAUACUCCUACGGGAGGCAGCAGUAGGGAAUCUUCCACAAUGGGCGCAAGCCUGAUGGAGCAACGCCGCGUGUGUGAUGAAGGGUUUCGGCUCGUAAAACACUGUUAUAAGAGAAGAACGACAUUGAGAGUAACUGUUCAGUGUGUGACGGUAUCUUAUCAGAAAGGAACGGCUAAAUACGUG
rnacentral:rRNA from 1 species